UUUUUCAUUUGUAAAUUUUCUUAUUUAUGUGACAUUUUAGAAAAGUUAGAUGGGAAAAACGUUUUAGUAACUGCAAUGCCAUUGCAAACCAGAAGAAGGCAGUAAGGCGGGACAAGGGAUGUCAGCCGGUGUUAAACGCCAAAGAAGAAGACAUCCGGCAUGUGAAAACAGAAACUUGUGAUUGUUCGUGGCUGCUGAGUGUAAAAGCUUGGAUUUCGCACACUCUUAGCAUUCUCUUGAUGAACUUCAGUCACCAGAAAUGGUCUUCCAACAGUCUUGAAGGAGUUCCCAGAGAUGCUUAGCACUUGUUGGCCCUUUUGCCUUCAUUCUGCGGUCCAGCUCACCCCAAACCAUCUCGAUUGGGUUCAGGUCCGGUGGAGGCCAGGUCAUCUGGCGCAGCACCCCAUCACUCUCCUUCUUGGUCAAAUAGCCCUUACACAGCCUGGAGGUGUGUUUGGGGUCAUUGUCCUGUUGAAAAAUAAAUGAUGGUCCAACUAAACGCAAACCGGAUGGAAUAGCAUGCCGCUGCAAGAUGCUGUGGUAGCCAUGCUGGUUCAGUAUGCCUUCAAUUUUGAAUAAAUCCCCAACAGUGUCACCAGCAAAGCACCCCCACA